GUCUAUGGCCAUGCCACCCUGAACAAGCCCGAUGUCUGAUCUUGGAAGCUAAGCAGCGUCCGGCCUGGUUAGUACUUGGAUGGGAGACUAUCUAGGAAGACUAGGUGCUGUAGGCA
rnacentral:rRNA from 1 species